GUAUGCUUCAGUAGGACAUAUGCUAAAAUUAGAACAAUACAGAGAAGAUUAGCUUGUCGCCUGCGCAAAGACGACAUGCAAACUUAUAAGGCAUUCCAUAUAUAU